GCUCAGGAUGAACGCUAGCGGGAGGCCUAACACAUGCAAGCCGAGCGGUAURGAUAGCUUGCUAUCCAGAGAGCGGCGUACGGGUGCGUAACACGUGUGCAACCUACCUUUAUCUGGGGGAUAGCCUUUCGAAAGGAAGAUUAAUACCCCAUAAUAUAAUGAUUGGCAUCAAUUAUUAUUGAAAACUCCGGUGGAUAGAGAUGGGCACGCGCAAGAUUAGAUAGUUGGUGAGGUAACGGCUCACCAAGUCAAUGAUCUUUAGGGGUCCUGAGAGGGAGAUCCCCCACACUGGUACUGAGACACGGACCAGACUCCUACGGGAGGCAGCAGUGAGGAAUAUUGGACAAUGGGUGAGAGCCUGAUCCAGCCAUCCCGCGUGAAGGAAGACGGUCCUAUGGAUUGUAAACUUCUUUUGUACAGGGAUAAACCUACUCUCGUGAGGGUAGCUGAAGGUACUGUACGAAUAAGCACCGGCUAACUCCGUGCCAGCAGCCGCGGUAAUACGGAGGGUGCAAGCGUUAUCCGGAUUUAUUGGGUUUAAAGGGUCCGUAGGCGGACUUGUAAGUCAGUGGUGAAAUCUCAUAGCUUAACUAUGAAACUGCCAUUGAUACUGCAGGUCUUGAGUAAAUUUGAAGUGGCUGGAAUAAGUAGUGUAGCGGUGAAAUGCAUAGAUAUUACUUAGAACACCAAUUGCGAAGGCAGGUCACUAAGA
rnacentral:rRNA from 1 species